GUGAGAACCUCUUUAAGGUGAGAACCACCUUAUGGUGAGAACUCUCCCAUACUAUAUGAGAAAGCCCAAAAUACUUUCCUUAGAAAAAAAAAGCCCGAAAAUACUGCAAAUUCAGCAACAAAGUGAACGCUCAUUUUUUCUCUUCUCCCUCAUGCAAUUCUCAUCCUCGCGAUUCCUUCGAUCUUCCAAGAACACCAAAUUCAAUUCAAAAUUCCACGAACAUAUAACAAGAAAUCAAGGAUUUUUCAUGAAAUUGGCGAACAAAUUCUGAAUUUUUUGUCGGUAACGCAACUUCUCUGCUUGGUUGCGAUCCAUUUGGAAGUAGAUGGCAUGAGUGAAACACUUUAUGAGUUGAUGGCUUCUCUAGACCACAACAACGCUGUUAAAGAAGAUGUUCUUAUAGCACUCUUGCAGCAUUAAAUUUGGUUGUCAUAGUCAAGAUAUAACUAUGAACAUUCUACUUUUUAUGUAGUCUAUAUUAAUCACAUAAUGGCUUGUUUUUGCUUGCUGCUAUCUUAGUUUAUAUACUCGUAUUUUAUUGUGAUGCUAUGUACUAGUUUUAUAUUUGAGGCGAGUUAUUUUCUCGUGUUAUCUACUUAAAUCUGCAAGAAGUCAAUUGCAAUUAUAGUUUUAUAUUUUGGGGUGGACAUUCAACUUUGUAAUAAGUGUUUUUUGUUAAUGAAGUUUUAUAUAGUAAAA